UAAGCCAAAACCCGUCUUCACGCCCAUCAUUUUUGCUGCUGAAUGACUUGAUCCAGGGACGGGUGGCUUCUCCUCCCCCUUUCGUUCGAAAACCCUCAACAAAUCGAAUCCCCCUUUCUUCCUUCUUCAGAUGACGAAACCUUCUUGCUCCCAAUUCGUCUGAGGAGAUGGAGGUGAACGGGAGCGGCGGGUGCCCGGCAAUGGCGUUCCGGUACAACGGGACGCUGUGCGCGUGCAACCCGGGGCGAUACCUGGUGAAAGGGAGCUGCGCGCUGUUCGAGACGGGCGGCGACUGGAUGGUCAGCUCCGGGGUGUCGCCCGCGCCCACCUUCCUCACCACCGUCCUCCCCAUCGACGACAUCAAGCGCUUCACGCAGUCGCAGGCCGUGCUGCUGGAGGCCACCCUCGUGCUCCUCCUCGUCUGGCUCGCCUUCUGCCUCGCGCUGCGCUUCACCAGGGUCGAUAACGGCCGCAGCUUCUGGUUCCGACUCCGCUGGUGGAUCAGCCGCUUCGACACGUUCUACGAUACCAAACAUUGGCUGGAUGACAACAAGGUGGUGAUAAAAAGGAAAACAGAACUGGGUGGAACAUUUUCUGUAGCAAGCUGGAUACUCUUCGUUGGUCUGUUGUCUGCGUUGCUGUAUCAGAUUAUUACUAAGUGGAGCAUCGAAGUGCAUCGAGUCAGACCUGCAAAUGCCCCAGAUCUACUUUCGUUUGUCAAUGACUUGGAAUUUAAUAUAACCACUAUUUCUAGCAUGAGCUGUUCUCAUUUACGUGGCCUUGAUUCCCUGGUGAUUGGAACUGUUGGCUCUAUUGACUACAGAGUUUAUCCUUUGUCAACGUAUGUAGAAUAUAAUUGCCAAAACACAAGCAGUGGUCCUACUAUAUCUCUUAAAUGCAACAGUUGUCAGAUUCCUCGAAGAAAUCAUUAUAUUUCAUGGCAGUUUGUUGACCUCCCAAAUGAUCCUGCCAUUGCUGUAGGUUUCCAGUUCAACCUUUCAGCAAAGGACCAUGCUGAUGGUAAGCAUGUUAGCUUUGUCACUGGUACAAUGAUAUCAGAUACAUACACAAAUGAUGAGCCCAAAACCUUCAGAGGGUCAGAUGUGAAUGUUUUGAGGAUCCAUUUGUUUCCUCAGGUGUAUAACAAUUUGAACAACUUAAAACUCAUACAGCCUCUCUUUCAUGACUUUAUCUCUGGAUCAUCUUUUUCUGAAGCUAGUGAUCUCCAAGCUUCCCUUCAAGGUUCGAAGAAUGGUUUAGUCAAUACUACACUGUUCAUCAGUUAUCUUUCUGAUUAUAUUGUGGAGAUCAACAAGGAAAAUAUGAUGGGAAUUGUGGGCUUCCUUGCGGAUGUUGGAGGUCUUUAUGCUAUUAGCCUUGCAAUUUUUCUUUUCUUCUUGGUCCAGUUUGAGGCUAGAAUUAUUAAACUUCGCCAUGAAGAUACUGCAAUGAGAAAUAUUGUUAGACAAAAACAUGCACAGAAGAAUUGGGAUAAGCUGAGGAAAUAUGUUAUGUACACAUGGGGUCCAAACAACUUGAUGGAUGACAACAAAUCUAAAAGGCAUGGAAGUUUGAUGAUUAAUUUUAUCCAUGGAAUUCAAACACUACACUGGAAAAAACAGCCAAGGAGAAAUAAUUCAAGAUGCCCCAACACUGCAAAAGGAACUUCUCCACAUUUGGAGAGUAAACAGGUCUUUGAAUAGGAGAAUCUUGGUAUUGAAUCGGAAGAGGAAAUGCAACAAUCAAAUAUGUCUGGAACUUCAUAGUAAUGUGUGCUACUGACAACAGAUUGUUUUGACCUCAACAUGGUGUUUGGUUAACCCAAUGUUUGUCCAAGAUUGAUGGUCACAAAAAUGCUCACACAAGUUGGUGAUGACCUGGUAGUCUUUAGUUUUGCCGCAUCUUUGAUGCCCCCUAGUUUGGUAUUUCAGUAUCUGGAAUGGGAGGCAUGUGUGAGGAAACAUCCACCAACAGGCUUUCAGCGAGGCACACUAUAUUGUUCCUAGUCAUUGUUCUGUCUAUAUAUACAUGCAAACCAGUAUAAAUCUGAAGGAUGAUGUGGCCCUCCAAAGUUGCUACUGGUGUUGGUAUAAGAUGUUUCUAGAAAAAAGGGUUUAACUCAUUCAAUUAAUUCAUUCUGCUUUUAGUGCAAUGUUGUAUAUUCAUAGGAACCGAAUGUAUCACAAGAAUUCAUAAUUUUCAUUUGUGCAUUAUGUAUCUGCUGUAGCUAUUCAUUUGUCGUGUGAUUAGAGUUUAUCAAUGAGAAUAUUUCUUAGGCUUGGAUGCGCCAUGCCUAAUUGCUUGGUAAUAAAAUGACAUUUGUGACA